GGUGAGUAAUGCGUCGGAACGUACCGAGUAGUGGGGGAUAACGCAGCGAAAGUUGUGCUAAUACCGCAUAUUCUGUGAGCAGGAAAGCGGGGGAUCUUCGGACCUCGCGCUAUUCGAGCGGCCGACGUCUGAUUAGCUAGUUGGUGGGGUAAAGGCCUACCAAGGCGACGAUCAGUAGCGGGUCUGAGAGGAUGAUCCGCCACACUGGGACUGAGACACGGCCCAGACUCCUACGGGAGGCAGCAGUGGGGAAUUUUGGACAAUGGGCGAAAGCCUGAUCCAGCCAUGCCGCGUGUCUGAAGAAGGCCUUCGGGUUGUAAAGGACUUUUGUCAGGGAGGAAAUCCUGCUGGUUAAUACCUGGCGGGGAUGACAGUACCUGAAGAAUAAGCACCGGCUAACUACGUGCCAGCAGCCGCGGUAAUACGUAGGGUGCAAGCGUUAAUCGGAAUUACUGGGCGUAAAGCGUGCGCAGGCGGUAAGGAAAGUCAGCUGUGAAAGCCCCGGGCUCAACCUGGGAACUGCGGUUGAAACUCUCUUGCUAGAGUGCG
rnacentral:rRNA from 1 species